CCUACGGGCGGCAGCAGUGAGGAAUAUUGGUCAAUGGGCGAGAGCCUGAACCAGCCAAGUCGCGUGAGGGAGUACUGCCCUAUGGGUUGUAAACCUCUUUUGUCGGGGAGCAAAAGCCGGACGUGUCCGGCUGUGAGAGUACCCGAAGAAAAAGCAUCGGCUAACUCCGUGCCAGCAGCCGCGGUAAUACGUAGGGGGCGAGCGUUAUCCGGAUUCAUUGGGCGUAAAGCGCGCGUAGGCGGCCUGUUAGGUCGGGGGUCAAAUACCGGGGCUCAACCCCGGUCCGCCCCCGAUCCCGGCAGGCUUGAGUCUGGUAGGGGAAGGCGGAAUUCCCAGUGUAGCGGUGGAAUGCGCAGAUAUUGGGAAGAACACCGAUUGCGAAGGCAGCUUACUAAACUGUGACUGACAUUGAUGCUCGAAAGUGUGGGUAUCAAACAGGAUUAGAUACCCGAGUAGUC
rnacentral:rRNA from 1 species